UUAGGUUGAGAUCUCACAACAAGAAAUGAAGGGGCACACGAGAUUUGGGGGCAGAGCUGCACUUGGUUCUGUUGGUCACUUAAGAAGGUGAGGAAUUUGGUCAUUGUAACUUGAUCUGUACUGCGGUGGUUAAAUCAAUCACUUGGGAAGGUUGGAACUAUUCUACUGAUGUUUUGCUUGAUAUUGUUGUUAUGGGAAGAAAUAGAAGGGAUGUAGUUGUAGUUGCUGUAAUGGGGGAAAAUCAAGGAAUUGAACAGGUGAUGGGAAAAUUGGUAGAUAUGCUUGCAAAGAAACUCAGUGAGACCUCUACUACUAUCAAUGCAAUUGUUCCUCAUGCUGAAUCAGUACAAAAAAUUGAGUUGAUGCAAAAUGAUAUUAAGUUGGAGGGUGUCAAAAAUUAUUUGAGUUGGACAAGGAGAGCAAUGUUGAUUUUAAAGACAAAGGGGUUAGAAGGAUAUGUCAUAGGAGAAGUGAAGGAGCCUGAGAGCACAAGUGUAGAAUGGAAAACUUGAAGUACUACCAACUCUUUAGUGGUAGCGUGGUAGUUGACCUCACUAAUCCCUGCUAUUGCUACAACUGUUGAGACCAUCUCUAGUGCGAGUGAGAUGUGGAAAACUCUCACUAAUCUAUACUCAGAAGAAGGUAAUAUGAUGCUAAUGAUGGUGGCACAAGAGAAGAUAAGUGCUUUGAAACAGGGGGAGCGCCUAUGGCAGAAUAUGUCGCAGAGUUGAAGUGUUUGUGAUUUGAUUUAGAUUAUUAUGAUCCUCUUGGGUUAGAGCAUUCUAAUUACAUAGCAAAAAUGAAGAAAUGGGUAGAGCGUAAAAGGGUCCUUGAGUUUUUGAAGGGCUUAAAUCCGGAGUUCAAAGGAAGAAGAGAUGCAAUGUUUCACCAAACCACUCUUCCUACCUUAGAUGUGGCUAUUGCAACUAUGGCACAAGAGGAGCUUAAGAAGAAACUAUUUCCUAUGCCACAUCGUCUUCAUCAAGUCCCACCUAUGCAAUUGUACAAGGAGAGGCAAACAGGGAAGAAACUUGGGAUUGGUGUCAGGCAUGAUGGACUUUCGUAUUUGGAUCGGGGAAGGACUAAUGAAGCCAUGUGUCUAGCUUUGAUGGCUUCCACAAGUGAAGAAGAGCUAAGGUGUUAUUUUUGCACUGUCGAUUGGGACAUAUAUCUUUUGAAAUUAUAAGUAAAAUAUUUCCAGUAGAGUUCAGUAGAGUGGAUAAACAUAAGUUAGUAUGUGAUGCUUGUGAGUAUGGGAAACAUACAAAAAUGUCAUAUGUGAGUAGAGGACUCCGAAGUAUGUUGCCCUUUAUGCUAAUUCACUCAGAUAUUUGGACCUCACCUGUGGUUUCUAUGAGUGGAAUGAAGUAUUUUGUCACCUUUAUUGAUUGCUACUCUCGCAUGACAUGGAUAUAUCUUAUGAGGCACAAGGACGAGGUGCUUAAAUGCUUCCAGAAUUUUUAUGCUUAAAUGUUUUCAGAAUUUUUAUGCAUACAUUAAAAAUCAUUUUAAUGCUCGGGUUUAGUUUAUUAGAACUGACAAUGGAGGGGAGUAUAUAAAUAAGAAUUUAGUAACUUUCUUUCAUCAGAAGGAAUAUUACAUCAAACUUCUUGUCCUGAUACUCCUCCACAAAAUGGGGUGGCUGAGA